rnacentral:lncRNA from 1 species
UUGGAUCUGAUGACUUCGGCAUCUACUGAGGAUGCAUGCGUCAGAGGGAGAUACCGGAUCCACAAAUUGGGUAAGGGUCGUCGGAGGCCUCCUUUGGCACUGGCAGAUGCUGGGCGUGCGGGAGGGAGCCCGAAACUGCUGAUGGGUGACUUCGGCACUGAUGGAGGUGAGACGCUACAUGGGUAAUCUGAAAACUCCUACAUGUGGCUUUGGUUCCAAUGGAGGGGAGCUCGACAUCAUCUGAAGGUGACGUCAUUGGAGGCAAAGCGCACAUAGGGGAGGGAGCCCGGAUCUGGGCGAACCUGGUGCUGUCGAUAGUGAGAUGAAAGGAGUGGACCUCGGAAGCUUAGACCUAGGAGAGAUUGGCGCAGCAAAGGGGGGAUAGCUGGAUCCUUAAAUUUUGGUGGAGGCUUAGAUCCGAUGAGCUUGGCGCUGACGGGGGACUCAUCCACGAUGAAGCGAGUGAAGGGGGAAGUUUCUCAACAGUGGGGAGAUCGGAGAUGGGGUUCAGGCCCUCCUUUUCCCAUCAAGGGAUUAGGAUCCAGCCAGCACGCGGUCAUCGACUCAUGGUCAUUGGAAGCACGGGGGUGAAGAUGGCCGCAACUGGCUUGCGGGAGCAAGAUCGACUGCAAUGGGACCAUGAGGGUGAAGUCGGCCACAACGAGCUCACCACCAUUGGAGGCACAGGGGUGAGGUCGGCCGCAACGAGCUCACAGAGGCGAGGAUGAUGGCGACGAGCUCACGGUUGCCGUCGGAGGUGGAAGAAAGAAUGGGGGGUCUCGAUUUGGGAGAGAUCGAUGACAUCGGAGGUAGAUGCACGUGAGGGAGGCCUCAGGGGCACCAAUCUGAUGAAGUCCGACAACUUUGGGAACCUCGACACCCGACGGAGGCUGUUGGUAGGGUUUGGUGAGGCUCGAGAUGGAUCGACCGAUGGCGAACCUGCUUUGGUGCGGCAGCGGGGCUCUUGCUUCGCCACAGCAUAAGGGAGAAAUGGAGGGCCUGGUUCAGUCGGGCCCUUCGUGGGUGUUCUCUCUUCUUCUUCUUCUUCUUCUUCUUCUCCUUCUUCUUCUUUGGAUCUUUUCCGGCACAUCAAAAUUGUUACUGAUAAACUUGCAAAGGAAGAUCUCCCCCUUUUCUUAUCGGGAUGCUGCUAAAAAAUUUAAAUUUAAAUUUAAAUUUUGAAUAUUUUUAGAUAUAAAUAAGAAAGCAAAAAUAAUAAGAGAUUUAUGUAAUCUUCUUUCCUAUUCGGAUAUCAUAAUUUUCUUCUUUAUUUGAGCCUCUUAGUUUUGAGUCUAAUUAAAAAUCGAGGGAUGUUGAUUGAU